rnacentral:misc_RNA from 1 species
AACUUUUAACAAUGGAUCACUUGGCUCUCGCAUCGAUGAAGAACGCAGCGAAAUGCGAUAAGUAAUGUGAAUUGCUGAAUUCAGUGAAUCAUCGAAUCUUUGAACGCAUCUUGCGCUCCUUGGUAUUCCGAGGAGCAUGCCUGUUUGAGUGUCAUUUAUCUUAUCAACCGCUUCAGAUUUCUCUGAAUGUGGCUUGGACGUGGGGGAACUCUUUGCUGGCUUUUAGAGAAAGGUCAGCUCCCCUGAAAUGCAUUAGUGGCAUCUGAGCUGCUACUGUAGGUGUGAUAAAUAUCUAUGCCUUUGGUAUGCAUGCAUGAACAGAUCGCGCUGCUCAAAACCCGACUUUGACAAACUUGACCUCAAAUCAGGUAGGACUACCCGCUGAACUUAAGCAUAUCAAUAAGCGGAGGCU